ensembl:snRNA U6 U6 spliceosomal RNA
GUGCUUGCUUUGGCAGCACAUAUACUAAAAAUAUAAUGAUACGGAGAAGAUAAGCAUGGCCCCUGCACAAGGAUAAAGGGUCUAUGCAACCAGAGAUGUCCAGUAUUA